UACGGAGGGUGCGAGCGUUGUCCGGAAUCACUGGGCGUAAAGGGCGCGUAGGUGGCGCCGCAAGUCAACGGUGAAAGCUCGACGCUCAACGUCGAGUCGGCCGUCGAUACUGCGGGGCUGGAGCACUGUAGAGGCAGAUGGAAUUCCGGGUGUAGCGGUGGAAUGCGUAGAGAUCCGGAAGAACACCGGUGGCGAAGGCGGUCUGCUGGGCAGUUGCUGACACUGAGGCGCGACAGCGUGGGGAGCAAACAGG
rnacentral:rRNA from 1 species